rnacentral:tRNA from 2 species
GGUGGGGUGGAUGAGUGGUCGAAGUCAGCUCACUGCUAACGAGUCGUACUGUAAUAGGUACCGAGGGUUCGAAUCCCUCCCCCACCG